GUCCCCAUAGGACCCCAUAGACCCUCAUAAUACCCCCUAGGACCCCAUAAGACCCCAUAAAUCCCCCAUAAGACCCCAUAGGACCCCAUAAGACGCCAUAAGCCGCCAUAGGACCCCAUAGGAGCCCAUAAGACCCCAUAGGACCCCACAGAACCCCAUAGAACCCCAUAGGACCCCAUAAGUCCCCAUAAUCCCCCAUAGGACCCCAUAAGACCCCAUAAUCCCCCAUAGAACCCCAUAGGACCCCAUAGAACCCCAUAGCACCCCAUAGAACCCCAUAGAACCCCAUAGGACCC